rnacentral:rRNA from 1 species
GGACAGCGGCGAAAGGGAGAGUAAUGAGUGGAUUACCUACCCCCAGGACCGGGAUAGCUGUGGGAAACCGCAGGUAAUACCGGAUAAUAUCUCCGGAUCAAAUGGUGAGAUUCCGCCAGGGGAUGGGUCCGCUUCCUAUUAGCUUGUUGGUGGGGUAACGGCCUACCAAGGCAACAAUGGGUACCGGGUGUGAGAGCAUGGCCCGGCUCACUGGGACUGAGACACUGCCCAGACACCUACGGGUGGCUGCAGUCGAGAAUCUUCCGCAAUGGGCGAAAGCCUGACGGAGCGACGCCGCGUGCGGGAUGAAGGCCUUCGGGUUGUAAACCGCUGUCAGUAGGGGGCAAAUCUCUUGGGGUUAUCCCCUUGAGUUGAGCGAUCGUCAGAGGAAGUACGGGCUAAGUUCGUGCCAGCAGCCGCGGUAAGACGAACCGUACGAACGUUAUUCGGAAUCACUGGGCUUAAAGAGUCCGUAGGCGGCCGUGUAGGUGGGAUGUGAAAGCCCUCGUCUCAACCGAGGAAUUGCGUUCCAAACCACAUGGCUUGAGGAGGAUAGAGGUGAGCGGAACUGAUGGUGGAGCGGUGAAAUGCGUUGAUAUCAUCAGGAACACCACAGGCGAAGGCGGCUCACUGGGUCCUUUCUGACGCUGAGGGACGAAAGCUAGGGGAGCAAACGGGAUUAGAUACCCCGGUAGUCCUAGCUGUAAACGAUGAGCACUAGAUCGAGGGGACUUCCACAUCUUCUCGGUCGUAGCGAAAGUGUUAAGUGCUCCGCCUGGGGAGUAUGGUCUCAAG